rnacentral:rRNA from 1 species
AUUGAACGCUGGCGGCAUGCUUUACACAUGCAAGUCGAACGGCAGCGCGGGGCAACCUGGCGGCGAGUGGCGAACGGGUGAGUAAUACAUCGGAACGUACCCAGAAGUGGGGGAUAACGUAGCGAAAGUUACGCUCAUACCGCAUACGUUCUACGGAAGAAAGUGGGGGACCUUCGGGCCUCAUGCUUUUGGAGCGGCCGAUGUCUGAUUAGCUAGUUGGUAGGGUAAAGGCCUACCAAGGCGACGAGCAGUAGCUGGACUGAGACGACGACCAGCCACACUGGGACUGAGACACGGCCCAGACUCCGACGGGAGGCACCGUUGGGGAAUUUUGGACAAUGGGCGCAAGCCUGAGCUAGCAAUGCCGCGUGAGUGAAGAAGGCCUUCGGGUUGUAAAGCUCUUUUGUCAGGGAAGAAACGGCUGAGGAUAAUACCUUCGGCUAAUGACGGUACCUGAAGAAUAAGCACCGGCUAACUACGUGCCAGCCGCCGCCGCCGUAA